GGAUGUGAGGGCGAUCUGGCUGCGACAUCUGUCACCCCAUUGAUUGCCAGGCCAGGGUUGAUUCGGCUGAUCUGGCUGGCUAGGCGGGUGUCCCCCUCCUCCCUCACCGAUCCAUGUGCGUCCCUCCCGAAGCUGCGCGCUCAGGGGUCGAAGAGGACGACCUUCCCGCCGCCCCCCCAGAGAGGACCGGUCUUCGGUCAAGGGUAUACGAGUAGCUGCGCUCCCCUGCUAAAAUGCUACUCAGAGACCAAAAAGGCAAACAAACGAAGGCAUGCUUUGUUCUUUGAUAAGAACACUGAGUAUCAUAAAAACAUCACUCACCUUAAAUCAAUCAAUACAUU
ensembl:misc_RNA 7SK 7SK RNA